rnacentral:lncRNA from 1 species
GUCCAAAUGACUGCUGGAUAGCCCUGAAUGUUCAUUAUUUUUAUAUAAUAAACAUUUUGCACAUAGGAAAACUCAGUGAGUUUGAUUAUUCUCAGAUGAAGUUUAGACCAGAAAUCACACAGACAGAUGAUAAAGCCAGGGAUCUAAAACGAUCAAUAAACACGAAGAGACCACCAACCAACAAGAAAGGUCUCAGAGCUUAAACCAGAGACUAGAAUACACAGGAAGGUCUCAGAGCUUAAACCAGAGCCUAGAACACACAGGAAGGUCCUGGAGCUUAAACCAGAGCCUAGAACACACAGGAAGGUCUCAGAGCUUAAACCAGAGCCUAGAACACACAGGAAGGUCCCAGAGCUUAAACCAGAGCCUAGAACACACAGGAAGGUCUCAGAGCUUAAACCAGAGCCUAGAACACACAGGAAGGUCCCGGAGCUUAAACCAGAGCCUAGAACACCCAGGAAGGUCCCAGGGCUUAAACCAGAGCCUAGAACACACAGGAAGGUCUCAGAGCUUAAACCAGAGCCUAGAACACACAGGAAGGUCCUGGAGCUUAAACCAGAGCCUAGAACACCCAGGAAGGUCCCAGGGCUUAAACCAGAGCCUAGAACACACAGGAAGGUCUCAGAGCUUAAACCAGAGCCUAGAACACACAGGAAGGUCCUGGAGCUUAAACCAGAGCCUAGAACACACAGG